ensembl:snoRNA
CGGUCCGUCCUCAUCCCUGCCAGGCAGCCUGUGGCCUGCCAGUUUCAUUCAUGGACAGAGCAUUCUAGAAGCCUCACCCAGAGGCAUGAGCAAGACUUCAGUGGGCUCAUGCUGGGGGAGCUUCUAUAUACUU